UGCAGAGAUCAGUCCCUGCCAGGACACAGUUUAGAUAUGAAGGUCCAGGUUCAGGUCCUGGGGCUCCUGCUCUGGAUAUCAGGUGCCCAGUGUGAUGUCCAGAUAACCCAGUCUCCAUCUUAUCUUGCUGCCUCUCCUGGAGAAAGUGUUUCCAUUACUUGUAGGGCAAGUAAGAACAUUAACACAUAUUUAGCCUGGUAUCAACAAAAACCUGGGGAAACUAAUAAGCUUCUUAUCUACUCUGGAUCCACUUUGCAAUCUGGAAUUCCAUCAAGGUUCAGUGGCAGUGGAUCUGGUACAGAUUUCACUCUGACCAUAAAGAGCCUGGAGCUUGAAGAUUUUGCAGUGUAUCACUGUCAACAGCAUAAUGAAUACCCAUACCACAAUUCCAGUGGUGAUGCUGUUCUGAUCCAAACUCCACACUUCCUGCCUAACUCAGGACCACCAGCCAAGGAGUAUUACAAUGGACACUACAAUGGACUAGGCCUUCCCUCAGAAGAGACCACCUACAGUAGAUUGGCAGGACUCACAGUUGACGGAUAUGAUCACCAGCCCGUCUUCAAAAUUUUUGAUCCAGAAUUACUCCUGUAUAAAACAAAGGUAGGGACAAAAAUGAGGCAGAGGCUGAAGGAAAGGACAACCAGUGAAAAGCCCAACUAA